rnacentral:rRNA from 1 species
UACAUACUGUGCGAACGUUAUUCGGAUUCACUGGGCUUAAAGGGCGCGUAGGCGGUGCAAAAAGUCUGAUGUUUAAUUUUCCGGCCUAACUGGAAAUCUGCAUUAGAUACUGUUGCGCUAGAGUAUGGAAGAGAGAAGCGGAAUUCUCGGAGUAGCGGUAAAAUGCGUAGAUCUCGAGAGGAACGCCAAUGGCGAAGGCAGCUUCUUGGUACAUUACUGACGCUGAGGCGCGAAGGCGUGGGGAGCAAACAGG